GGGGAGUUCGCAUAGCGGCAAUUGCAAGGGACUGUAAAUCCCUCGACUCGCGUCUCCAGAGGUUCGAGUCCUCUACUCCCCA
rfam:Treponema bryantii strain B25 genome assembly, contig: Ga0070255_101